UAAGGAAUAUUGCUCAAUGGGAGAAAUCCUGAAGCAGCAACGCCGCGUGGAGGAUGAAGGGUUUUUAACUUGUAAACUCCUGUAAAGAAGGAAAAAAUUCCCAUUAGAUGGGAAAUGAUGGUACUUCUGGAGUAAGCCCCGGCUAACUACGUGCCAGCAGCCGCGGUAAUACGUAGGGGGCAAGCGUUGUCCGGAUUUACUGGGUGUAAAGGGUGCUCAGGCGGAUUUGUAAGUCAGAGGUGAAAUCUCACAGCUUAACUGUGAAACUGCCUUUGAUACUGCAAGCCUAGAGUAUGGAAGAGAGUGAUGGAAUAUCUGGUGUAGCAGUGAAAUGCGUAGAUAUCAGAUAGAACACCAAUGGCGAAGGCAGUCACUUGGUCCAUAACUGACGCUAAAGCACGAAAGCGUGGGUAGCAAACAGGAUUAGAUACCUGGUAGUCACGCCCUAAACGAUGAAUACUAGAUGUUGGCUUCGCAUGAAGUCAGUAUCUGAGCUAACGCAUUAAGUAUUCCACCUGGGAAGUACGAUCGCAAGGUUGAAACUUAAAGGAAUUGACGGGGUCAUAGCUG
rnacentral:rRNA from 1 species